rnacentral:rRNA from 1 species
AUUGAACGCUGGCGGCAUGCCUUACACAUGCAAGUCGAACGGCAGCGGACCUUCGGGUGCCGGCGAGUGGCGAACGGGUGAGUAAUAUAUCGGAACGUACCUUUCAGUGGGGGAUAACGUAGCGAAAGUUACGCUAAUACCGCAUAUUCUGUGAGCAGGAAAGCAGGGGAUCGCAAGACCUUGCGCUGAUUGAGCGGCCGAUAUCAGAUUAGCUAGUUGGUGAGGUAAAGGCUCACCAAGGCGACGAUCUGUAGCGGGUCUGAGAGGAUGAUCCGCCACACUGGAACUGAGACACGGUCCAGACUCCUACGGGAGGCAGCAGUGGGGAAUUUUGGACAAUGGGCGCAAGCCUGAUCCAGCCAUGCCGCGUGAGUGACGAAGGCCUUAGGGUUGUAAAGCUCUUUUGGCGGGGACGAUAAUGACGGUACCCGCAGAAUAAGCCCUGGCUAACUUCGUGCCAGCAGCCGCGGUAAAGUGUG